AUUGAACGCCGGCGGCAGGCCUAACACAUGCAAGUCGAGCGAGCGGCGGACGGGUGAGUAAUGCCUGGGAAACUGCCUGAUGGAGGGGGAUAACUACUGGAAACGGUAGCUAAUACCGCAUACCAUCAGAUGGGCCCAGAUUGGAUUAGCUAGUAGGUGGGGUAACGGCUCACCUAGGCGACGAUCCCUAGCUGGUCUGAGAGGAUGACCAGCCACACUGGAACUGAGACACGGUCCAGACUCCUACGGGAGGCAGCAGUGGGGAAUAUUGCACAGUUGGCGCAAGCCCGGCGCAGCCCUGCCGCGUGUGAGAAGAAGGCCUUCGGGUUGUAAAGCACUUUCAGCGGGGAGGCGUUACCCGCAGAAGGAGCACCGGCUGACUCCGUGCCAGCAGCCGCGGUAAUUC
rnacentral:rRNA from 1 species